UGGGGUUUGUGAGCCUGCAAUAUGGCUAU
rnacentral:piRNA from 1 species